UACAGAGGGUGCAAGCGUUGUUCGGAAUUACUGGGCGUAAAGCGCGUGUAGGCGGUUUUGUAAGUCAGAUGUAAAAUCCCUUAGCUUAACUAAGGACCUGCAUCUGAUACUGCAAGGCUAGAGCGUCGGAGGGGAUGGCGGAAUUCCCGGUGUAGAGGUGAAAUUCGUAGAUAUCGGGAGGAACACCUGUGGCGAAGGCGGCCAUCUGGAAGAUAGCUGACGCUGAGACGCGAAAGCAUGGGGAGCAAACAGG
rnacentral:rRNA from 1 species